ensembl:lncRNA
GGAAAGGCUCAGUGAGGGCGGAGCUCGAGCGUUGUGGGCGGGGUGAACGGGCCAUCUCUGGAGAUGAGACUUAGUAUUUAGUGGUUGUUGCGUCUUCCUGGGCCCUGCCUGUAGCGUGGCGAUUGUGGGAAGGCCCUCUAAAGGGAGAGGGGAGGGAGAGAAAGGAACAGAGGAAAAAUUUAUUGUAGGCCUCUCCUCUGAGCUGAGCGCGCAGGGCGGAGCCUGAGUGGGCGGGGCUGCCUCCCGGGCGGUACAAAUGUGAGGCGGGGCGCGGGGCCCGAAGGUCGCGCGCCUCAGCUGGGGGCAGGGCCGGCGGGAAGACUUGAGGGUGGUGUGAGUUGUGGUGGACUGUGUCUUUGGUGUCUCGUCUGUGGAGGCAUUUUAAAUUCCUGAAUGAGCCCAGAAAGAAGUCCUCAAGACUCAAAAGGAAAACAAGAUGAAGGGAAACUGGCACGGCCUGACGCGCUCUAAUCGCCGCGAAGAAGCUGAGAUGAGCAAGAUUGUUUUUGCUCCCCACCUGCUUCACCAGCCGAGCCCCGAAGUAGUUUCCUUCUGGGCGGAGUGAAUUCUCGGUGCUGCCAGGAAAAGGUCCCAGAGGGGCAGGCGGGCUCCCCCUCCCUGCAGGGCUCCAGCCCGGCUCUCUGGCUGGGACGCGUUGCCUUGGCGGUAGCCAUGGGGACCAGAGCUGGCUGGUGCUCCGAUUCACACAAGAUUGCGAAAAUAACUCGGCGGUGCUGAGUUAAAUCGCUUUGUUACAAGUUUUAGGAGGCCUGUACUCUUUACCGGUAGCUGCGAUGUAUUUGAUUAUAAUGCUUUUUACUUUCAGUGCUAGGUUGGGUAAAAUGAGGUAUGAAGGUAUGAUGGAUCAGGUGGUUCCUGAUAACGUUAAGUAUCUACGUCUUCACUGAGUUAAUUUUAAGAGUCGAACAGUUAUUUAGGAAGACCAUAGUAAUUGGCAUGGAUGGGUUAAUUCUCUCCAGAGACUUAAUGAGCAGUAACUAUACCAGAUUAUCAAAUUCAUAUGUCUGAAUUUUCUGUAUUGUUUGAUUACAAAUCACCUCAGUGAAACUUCGAAAACAAAAUCUAUGUGCGACGAUGUUCAACACAGAAAUGAGUUGCACAUGGUAUUACAGUGAAUACAGGCAAAUUGGAAGAUUUAGUCUAAAGCCUGGGACAGGGUAACUGGCUGCUACAGCUGAGUGCUCUGGCAACAUUUAGCUAGAAUUUAACUUGCCUUCAAGCAAACCAGAACUCCAUGCAAGACAAUUAGGAACAAAAGCUCAAAUGAAAGUUUCUCUGAAGAGUUCUGUAUGAUUGGCUUGGAGACCAGAACUGUAGUUCAGCGGCGCUGCUGCUGCAUUGUAAACUAGUAUUCUGAUGCAGAGUGAAGAAAAUUUGCUCAAGAUUUGGAUGUAAAAGGGAAGCAUCAGAUAUCACUGCCUGCCUAUUGUCCUAAACAACUGGAGGGGAUAAAGAUAGAAGCCAAGUGAUCAUACCAGUGAAGUACACUUCUAGACCAUCGACAUCGAAAGUGGGGAGCUCUCUUCUGGAAUGUAAGCAUAAGGAAUAGAGAAGAUCUGGCCUAUAGCACUCAGAAGUUGGUUUCAUCCAGGAGGGAUUUUGUUCCAUAAGAGAGAGCUAACAGUGUCUGAAGACAUUUUUGAUUUCUUCACGUUUUUUGGCUCCCUGCUGGAUUUUCAGAGUGAAGUCAGAUGCAGUUUUCUGUGGGGCUGAAAUUUCACCAGGGGUCUCAGUUUGGCAAAAUCUUUCUUACUUAUGGUCCCCAUGAGUCCAGAAGAAUGGCUACUGAUGUUUCCUUCUUCAUCAAGAGUCUUUUUGUUGGCUCUAACUUCCUUUUUCUGCUUCUCUAGUUUCUGUUUCUCUAGCUGUGCUCAGUAUUUUUGAACUUUAGUUAUUUGGUUGGCCUUUGCUUCCAUCUUUCCCACUAAUGCCUCC